UACGUAGGGUCCGAGCGUUGUCCGGAAUUACUGGGCGUAAAGAGCUCGUAGGCGGUCUGUCGCGUCCGUUGUGAAAACUCGAGGCUCAACCUCGGGCUUGCAGUGGAUACGGGCAGACUAGAGUGCGGUAGGGGAGACUGGAAUUCCUGGUGUAGCGGUGGAAUGCGCAGAUAUCAGGAGGAACACCGAUGGCGAAGGCAGGUCUCUGGGCCGCAACUGACGCUGAGGAGCGAAAGCAUGGGGAGCGAACAGG
rnacentral:rRNA from 1 species